rnacentral:lncRNA from 1 species
AUCAAAGUUGCUUCUAAACAUCACUGAUUUUGCUAGCUCUAUCACUUCAUUUUUUUCUAUCAAGUUUUUAAGAUAACCUUGUGUGACUCAGGCCAUUCCUUGUUUGCACGUUCACCAUCAAUACAAGUCAGCCAAGACGAGUGUCGCUAGAGCUUCCAGUGUCUUUCACAUUCUAGCCCUCUUCAACCACAAAUUAUAAAAACGUGGCUCUGCUCAAGCACACGUUU